rnacentral:piRNA from 1 species
GAGGAUCAUUCUCAUAAGGGGAACACU